rnacentral:lncRNA from 13 species
UGAGUAGAGCUUCUUUGAGAAGAAUUAUUUACAUAGGUUUGGGCAGGAUUUCAGGAAACCAGUAAGGGACGGUGCUGGGUUUUUUUUUUUUUUUUUUUUUGGGACGGAGUUUCGCUCUUGUUACCCAGGCUGGAGUGAAAUGGCGCAAUCUCGGCUCACUGCAACCUCCGCCUCCUGGGUUCAGGCAAUUCUCUUGCCUCAGCCUCCUGAGUAGCUGGGAUUACAGGCACGCACUACGGUGCCCAGCUAAUUUUUUUUUUUUGUAUUUUUAGUAGAGACGGGGUUUCACCAUGUUGACCAGGAUGGUCUCAAUCUCUUGACCUCGUGAUCCACCCGCCUCGGCCUCCCAAAGUGCUGAAAUUACAGGCGUGAGCCACCGUGCCCGGACAGUGCUGGGUUCUAAGGCGUUUACAGUGGAAAACGGUUACGAGGGAAAGUAACUUCCGUGAGAAAGUGACAGAAACGGAGGCAUUAGAUACCAGUGUGCCAUCCAACAAGGAUAACCCACUACAACUAGGACAAUGAUCUCCAUCUCACUAUCUCCUUGUCCUCUAGUCUGGGAACGCCUCACAUUGAUCACACCCUAAUGGAAGCCAGAGGGCAACGAAGCCUGUUGAUGGAGCGCUGUGAGUCAGCAGCCUCCGGGCAGAGAGAAGGUGGACGGUGGAUAAAGACUGUCACCCAGAAGAGUUAUCCCUGACAUAUUUAUUGACAAAAAAGAAUGCUCCCACUCAAGGCAUCUAG